rfam:Picea glauca, whole genome shotgun sequence.
UCUUAUAUACAUGCCUACAUAGUUAAUGGACCAGAUCCCAUCAUAACUCCACAGUUAAACAUGUUUGGGCUAGAGUAGUAUUGGGAUGGGCGAUCUCCCAGGAAGUCCUAGUGUUUUACAUGCC